rfam:Gossypium raimondii chromosome 4, whole genome shotgun sequence.
AUUCCAUGAUGAGGGCAUCUUUAUUAUAGCUCUUGAAACCUUUCCCAUGCCUUAUAUAAGGACUCAUCAUCCAACUGUUGAAAGGUAGUAAUCUCGUUCCUCAACUU